GACGUAGGGCGCGAGCGUUGUCCGGAUUUAUUGGGCGUAAAGAGCUCGUAGGCGGCUUGUCGCGUCGUUCGUGAAAACCUGCAGCUCAACUGCAGGCUUGCGGUCGAUACGGGCAGGCUAGAGUACGGAAGAGGCGAGUGGAAUUCCUGGUGUAGCGGUGGAAUGCGCAGAUAUCAGGAGGAACACCAAUAGCGAAGGCAGCUCGCUGGGACGUUACUGACACUGAGGCGCGAAAGCGUGGGGAGCGAACAGG
rnacentral:rRNA from 1 species